AGGCAAAAUGAUGAACUUUGCCUAAGAAAAACUUCAAGUCCCAUAAUGCACCACCAGCAGGCCAGUGCAGGCUGCUCAUUAUGACUUGAGUUGGGACACAUGCGGAUGAGGACUCUCAGCAAACGUCUCAGCAGAGAGAGAGAGAGGCAGGAGAGAGGAUUCAGCUCAUGGUACACCAAAGAAGCCACUGGUUUUCAACCUGAUGAACCAACCAGCAAACAAUGAACAAAUAAGGCAAAAUAAACAUUGAGCUGUGUUGAAAA